CCCCCACUAUAGUAGUGGGGGACAUAUUGUUUUUGCCCUGUCUGUUGGUCUGUCUGUUGGUCUGUCUGUUUGCGCCAACUUUAACAUUUUGCAAUAACUUUUGCUAUAUUGAAGAUAGCAACUUCAUAUUUGGCAUGCAUGUGUAUCUCAUGAAUCUGCACAUUUUGAGUGGUGAAAGGUCAAGGUCAUCCUUCAAGGUCAGAGGUCAAAGAUAUGUGGCCAAAAUCGCUCAUUUUAUGAAUACUUUUGCAAUAUUGAAGAUAGCAACUUGAUAUUUGGCAUGCAUGUGUAUCUCAUGGAGCUGCACAUUUUGAGUGGUGAAAGGUCAAGGUCAAGGUCAUCCUUCAAGAUCAGAGGUCAAAUAUAUGUGGCCCAAAUGGCUUAUUUUAUGAAUACUUUUGCAAUAUUGAAGAUAGCAACUUGAUAUUUGGCAUGCAUGUGUAUCUCAUGGAGCUGCACAUUUUGAGAGGUGAAAGGUCAAGGUCAUCCUUCAAGGUCAAAUAUAUGGGUCAAAAUUGCUCAUGUAAUGUCACUUCUGCAAUAUUGAAGCUAGCAAUUUUAUAUUUGAAAUGCAUGUGUAUCUCACGGAGCUGCACAUUUUGAGUGGUGAAGGGUCAAGGUCAAGGUCAUCCUUCAAGGUCAAACGCUAU